GAGGAAUAUUGGUCAAUGGACGGAAGUCUGAACCAGCCAUGCCGCGUGCAGGAUGAAUGUGCUAUGCAUUGUAAACUGCUUUUGUACGAGGGUAAACACAGAUACGCGUAUCUGCUUGAAAGUAUCGUACGAAUAAGGAUCGGCUAACUCCGUGCCAGCAGCCGCGGUAAUACGGAGGAUCCGAGCGUUAUCCGGAUUUAUUGGGUUUAAAGGGUGCGUAGGCUGUUUUUUAAGUUAGAGGUGAAAGCUCGACGCUCAACGUCGAAAUUGCCUCUGAUACUGAGAGACUAGAGUGUAGUUGCGGAAGGCGGAAUGUGUGGUGUAGCGGUGAAAUGCUUAGAUAUCACACAGAACACCGAUUGCGAAGGCAGCUUUCCAAGCUAUUACUGACGCUGAGGCACGAAAGCGUGGGGAGCGAACAGGAUUAGAUACCCUGGUAGUCCACGCAGUAAACGAUGAUAACUCGUUGCCGGCGAUACACAGUCGGUGACUUAGCGAAAGCGUUAAGUUAUCCACCUGGGGAGUACGUUCGCAAGAAUGAAACUCAAAGGAAUUGACGGGGGCCCGCACAAGCGGAGGAACAUGUGGUUUAAUUCGAUGAUACGCGAGGAACCUUACCCGGGCUUGAAAGUUAGCGACGGACCGAGAAAUCGGUCUUCCCUUCGGGGCGCGAAACUAGGUGCUGCAUGGUUGUCGUCAGCUCGUGCCGUGAGGUGUCGGGUUAAGUCCCAUAACGAGCGCAACCCCUACCGUUAGUUGCCAUCAGGUCAAGCUGGGCACUCUAGCGGGACUGCCGGUGUAAGCCGAGAGGAAGGUGGGGAUGACGUCAAAUCAGCACGGCCCUUACGUCCGGGGCGACACACGUGUUACAAUGGCCGGUACAGAGGGUAGCUACCUGGUGACAGGAUGCCAAUCUCGAAAGCCGGUCUCAGUUCGGAUUGGAGGCUGAAACUCGCCUCCAUGAAGUUGGAUUCGCUAGUAAUCGCGCAUCAGCCAUGGCGCGGUGAAUACGUUCCCG
rnacentral:rRNA from 1 species